UCAACCAAGAGGACCCCUGGUCAAAGAAUAAAUCAUGCAGGAGAAACCCCUGGCCAAAGAAUGGUUCAACCAAGAGGACCCUCUGGCCAAAGAAUGGUUCAACCAAGUGGACCCCUUGGUCAAAGAAUGGGUCUACCAAGAGGACCCCCUGGUCAAAGAAUGGAUCAACCACGAGGACCCUCAGGUCAAAGAAUGGAUCAACCAAGAGGACUACUCGGUCAUAAAGCAGCAGUCCAGCCUUCCAAUAGUGGGCCACAACUAGACAUUAGAACAAGAGCUCCUGGUGCAGUAAGAGCUGCUCCGCCAUUAUUAAGAGGAAGCGGGCCAACAAUACCAAUUACUCAUGCAAGUAAUUCUACACCAACAUCCGAAGUUAGACAAGAAAAUCGACCGAGGCUAACUUCACCAGUAGCGGGUAAUGUCCCACGUCAACAAGUUCCUCGUCCACAAGCACCUUCGCCUCUACGGCUACCCAGACCUCCACUUCCAUCAUCUCAAACUGAGCCAGCUCAGACAACUCAUCCCAAAGAAAAUGUAAAACCUGUUAUGUCAAGCCAAGAUAGUCUAUCACCCAUGGUUAAGUCAACAAACACACAGGAAAACACGCCUUCCUUUAAAUCAAAUGAAAGUUUAGAGGGGAAGCCUCAAGAACCGGUUCAUCAUGCUGACUCAACAGUAGCGUCAUCAGAAAUUGCUGAUACACCGUCCGUUGCAUCAGAAUUAAAUAAUGGAAACAAUGAUGUUGAAGAAAAUGAUUCAGUGGCUGAAGAGAAGUCUGUCGUUGAUCAGAAAGAUGGGGGAAAUACAACGUCCAACGAUGAGUAUAAUUCUAAAAAAGACGAUGGUCCAGAUCACGUGACUACGGAAGAAAAUAAGCCCGGUUCUGUUGCAAGCGAUAAUUACAUCGCGAAUGAUAAAAAGAAAAUCGAAAUUGAAAUGUUAAUGAGACAACAGGAGCAGUUGAAAAGCUUGGAAAAGCUUGGAAAGAUACAGCAGCAACAGAAGGCGAAAAAAGCUUCAGAUGUUUCUAAGGAAGAGGAAGCAAAAGAUGUUUCAAGUGAUGUCAAAGCACCAGGUUUGCAAACUCAUCCAUUCCUUUGUAAAAAGUUCCCAAGAUGUGGGCCUUCGGAAAAGUGUGGUAGAUUCCAUCCAGAGUGUAAAUACGACUCCAAGUGCAAUCGAUUAACUUGUCCGUUUACCCACACUGUUCCAUUGGAGGAACGCGAUUGUGGAAAGACGGCAGCAAAUGAAAAGAAAAAAGCCGAAGAGGAGAGAGAACGCCUCAUGUACGAAGAAGAUCCAAGAUUGUACGAUGAUCAUUUGUAUCCUCCUCAUGAUUUUGAUCGUUGGAGAUACGGAGAUGGUAUCGAGGAGGAUGUUUAUUAUGAGGAGCGACGAUAUCAUGAUGAGGAAUGGAACGAGGCUUAUCGGUUUCGACAUCCACCAGACGAACGAGACCUUCAUCCGCCGCAUCCAUACGACCGUCCUUACAACGAUCGUGAUUAUAUAGAGGACUGGUACCCACCUCCACGUGACUACGAAAGGUAUCCUACUGAAGUGGAACAUUAUCCCGAGCGAUUUCCUAUUGACGAGAGACUACCUCCUGGUGGCGAUAGAUUUCUCGAUAGAGAGAGAUAUCCAAUUGAUUUUCGGCACCCGGACGAAGACAGACGACCCAUCAGGCACGAUUACGAAGAUCCUUACUACGAGAGAGAAAGAUUUUAUCGCCCUCUCGAACAUGAUUUUCCACAUAGACCGUGUGAGUUAUGGGACCGUGAUUUCGACCGUCGUGAUGCCGAUCGCUUCUUGUUGGAGAGGGAUAUCAGGGAUCGCGGGGAAUUCAGGCCUGGUGAUCCCUAUGACGAACUGCUCUAUCGGGAAGACCCUAUCUACGAUAGACAUCGAGCUUUCGAAGGCCGCGAGGAAUUCGAUCAUCAUCGAGAGGUCGGCAGAGGUCGUUACGAUGAAUUACUUCCCGAAGGAAGGCCACGUGACUAUAGGCAUGGUCUUAUCCGUGAUUCGGAAGUUGCUAUGUUAACUGAACGUGAAGGACUGUAUCAAUCGACGGCAAUUGAUUACAAACAUGGCUGGCGAGAGGAAGAAAGGAGACGGAAUCAUCCUGAAAUUUAUGAUGAGCGCGAUCUCCCCCCGAAAAGACUAUCGAAACCUACGUUAGAGGUGGUUGCCAUUGGUGAUCUCUUGGAAUCACCUGGGAGGGAUACCAGACCCGAAAGGAUUGUGUUUAUAUUCCGUGGUCUUCCGGGUAGUGGAAAAACUCAUAUCGCUCGGCUUAUCAAGGAUAAAGAGGUUGCUUGUGGAGCGGCUGCUCCCCGCAUUUUGAAUCUAGAUGACUAUUUCUUACAAGAAAUCACUAAGGAGGAAAAAGAUCCUGAAACUGGAAAAAAAGUUAAAGUAAAGAGAACCGAGUACGAGUACGAGCCCGAACUGGAAGAAAGUUAUCGUAAAAGCUUGUUCAAAUCCUUUAACAAAACAUUGGACGAUGGAUUUUUCCCCAUGGUCAUUCUUGAUUGUGUCAACAACAAAAUAAAACAUUUCGAUCAUUUUUGGAGCGCCGCUAAACAGAAAGGUUUCGAGGUGUAUGUCGCGGAAAUAACCGCUGAUAUAAACGACUGUGCGAAAAAGAAUACUCACAAUCGUUCAAUUGAUGAUAUCAAGAAAAUCAUGGAUUCUUGGGAAGAUACACCUGGCCAUUAUAUUCAAGUUGAUGUUCGCUCGUUGCUACAAGAUGCUGCUAUUACCGAGGUUGAGAUGGAGGCUGUAGACGAGCCUGGUACGAGUAAAGAAGAUGCUUCGCUUGAUUUGGACGAAGAGCAUGAAGAUUCGUUAUUCAAGAGUCGCUGGAAUGAGACUGAUGUCACUGAAAAAACAUUAGACAAGUUGGACGGCAUCAAAUCACGUGGUACAAAGAGGAAAUCCCAUCAUUCCACGUUGCCCGAGGACUUCGAAGAUGACCCGUAUGACGAAAGAGAGGAGGAUAUGCGACUUGGAAAGAAACGAGUACGUUGGGUGGAUAUUGAAGAACGCAAACACCUCGAACAUCGACGAAAGAUAGGCUUUUGUAUUGGUACUGACUGGAGUUUACUUACAAAUCCUGAUGCUGAAAUUCCACAGUGAAACAACUUGAGGGUUUAGAUGCGGCAGAACGAGUCGUUGUUGUUCUCGCUUAAAGACAUGAAGAUCUUUCGAUUUCUCUCUACAUAUAGGUUAAACGUUUGUCAAACUUGUGGUUUGUACAAAGCUUACGCUUACGUCUUACUGGUUAUUGGUAGAAUGUUAAUCGUGAACCCAGCCAUGGACGAUGGAAUUAAAAUCUGGAUUAAUUGCGAAACGAGAAUGAGCCAUGACGAAAUGUUGCCUUUUUUUUUGCGGAGAUGCUCAAUUUGAUUCAAUGGGACGCAAUGCCUAGCCAGUCUUGAUUGUUGAACUGCACUCUUCCUUGCUUAUUUCCUCGUCUCUUGAUCUCGCAAGAUCCUUAAGAUCGUUCAGCCAUUACUUACCUUUGCUUGAGCAAACGUGCUUGCAAAAACCAACACAGCAAGAAGGAAGAAAAACCAGAAUUAUUUAAUUGCAAUAUAUGUUUGCAAGAAUAUAUUUUUGUGUGUGUGAAACGCUCACGUGCUUAGAUGACUUUCAAGAUUGCGUCAUCAUAUUUAUACAAAAGCAACUGGCUAAGAUGUUAAGGCAACAAUCUUCAUGCUACAUAUCACGAUCUUGUUAUUAUCCAGCCGCUGUCUUCUCAUACUGUGAUAAACGUAAAACGAUUUUUACACUGUGAUAAAACAUUUACUAUAACUUAUCACAUCUUGGUGAAUAAAUAUGACGAGGACACUUUAUUAUCUAAUUAAUGCUAUCUUUUGUCUUAACAUACCGUAAGGCAACAUCUGUAACUUUAACAUAUGCAUGAGCUUCAUGAAAACCUGUGUUAACGUUAUAUACUUCUAUUUCCGUUUGAAUUAAAUAUGAUUUCAAAAUUA